UUGGAGGGCAAGUCUGGUGCCCGCAGCCGCGGAUAAUUCCAGCUCCAAUAGCGUAUAUUAAAGUUGUUGCAGUUAAAAAGCUCGUAGUUGAAUUUCGGAAUCAAUAUGUUGGUCGUGCCAUUGGUACGUACUGGCAUUAUUGGUUUCUACCUUCUGAAGAACCUCGAUGUCAUUAAUUUGGUGUCUUGGGGAAUCAGGACUGUUACUUUGAAAAAAUUAGAGUGUUUAAAGCAGGCUCGCGCUUGAAUACAUUAGCAUGGAAUAAUGAAAUAGGACGUUUGAUUCUAUUUUGUUGGUUUCUAGGAUCGACGUAAUGAUUAGUAGGGAUAGUUGGGGGCAUCAGUAUUCAAUUGUCAGAGGUGAAAUUCUUGGAUUUAUUGAAGACUAACUACUGCGAAAGCAUUUGCCAAGGAUGUUUUCAUUAAUCAAGAACGAAAGUUAGGGGAUCGAAGACGAUCAGAUACCGUCGUAGUCUUAACCAUAAACUAUGCCGACUAGGGAUCGGAUGAUGUUAAUUUUUAAUGACUCAUUCGGCACCUUACGGGAAAC
rnacentral:rRNA from 1 species